rnacentral:rRNA from 10 species
GUCUACAGCCACACCACCCCAAAUGUGCCUGAUCUUGUCUGAUCUUGGAAGCUAAGCAUUGUUGGGUCUAGUUAGGACCUGGAUAGGAGAAAUCC